rnacentral:rRNA from 1 species
AUGAAGGUUUUCGGAUCGUAAAACUCUGUUGUUAGGGAAGAACAAGUACCGUUCGAAUAGGGCGGCACCUUGACGGUACCUAACCAGAAAGCCACGGCUAACUACGUGCCAGCAGCCGCGGUAAUACGUAGGUGGCAAGCGUUGUCCGGAAUUAUUGGGCGUAAAGCGCGCGCAGGCGGUUUCUUAAGUCUGAUGUGAAAGCCCCCGGCUCAACCGGGGAGGGUCAUUGGAAACUGGGGAACUUGAGUGCAGAAGAGGAGAGUGGAAUUCCACGUGUAGCGGUGAAAUGCGUAGAGAUGUGGAGGAACACCAGUGGCGAAGGCGACUCUCUGGUCUGUAACUGACGCUGAGGCGCGAAAGCGUGGGGAGCGAACAGGAUUAGAUACCCUGGUAGUCCACGCCGUAAACGAUGAGUGCUAAGUGUUAGAGGGUUUCCGCCCUUUAGUGCUGCAGCAAACGCAUUAAGCACUCCGCCUGGGGAGUACGGUCGCAAGACUGAAACUCAAAGGAAUUGACGGGGGCCCGCACAAGCGGUGGAGCAUGUGGUUUAAUUCGAAGCAACGCGAAGAACCUUACCAGGUCUUGACAUCCUCUGACAACCCUAGAGAUAGGGCUUCCCCUUCGGGGGCAGAGUGACAGGUGGUGCAUGGUUGC